GACGAACGCUGGCGGCGUGCUUAACACAUGCAAGUCGAACGGAAAGGCCCUGCUUUUGUGGGGUGCUCGAGUGGCGAACGGGUGAGUAACACGUGAGUAACCUGCCCUUGACUUUGGGAUAACUUCAGGAAACUGGGGCUAAUACCGGAUAGGAGCUCCUGCUGCAUGGUGGGGGUUGGAAAGUUUCGGCGGUUGGGGAUGGACUCGCGGCUUAUCAGCUUGUUGGUGGGGUAGUGGCUUACCAAGGCUUUGACGGGUAGCCGGCCUGAGAGGGUGACCGGCCAAAUUGGGACUGAGAUACGGCCCAGACUCCUACGGGGGGCAGGAGUGGGGAAUAAUGCACAAUGGGCGGAAGCCUGAUGCAGCAACGCCGCGUGCGGGAUGACGGCCUUCGGGUUGUAAACCGCUUUCGCCUGUGACGAAGCGUGAGUGACGGUAAUGGGUAAAGAAGCACCGGCUAACUACGUG
rnacentral:rRNA from 1 species